rnacentral:misc_RNA from 1 species
AAGUCGUAACAAGGUUUCCGUAGGUGAACCUGCGGAAGGAUCAUUACUAAAUGAACCUGAAUGGAUUUAUUCCGUUCUUAUUUCAUUGUGAACAUUAUACCUUAGGCUGGGCCCGUGGGAACUCCUUCGGGGGAACCCGUGGGAAUCAGGGGUAACUCUGAUUUUCUCACCUUUGGUUAUUCUAACAACUUGUUUAUUUAAAUUGUCUUAAGUAAAUUUAUUUCAAUUAAAUACAACUUUCAGCAACGGAUCUCUUGGUUCUC